AUUUCAAACCCGUUUGAUUUCUUUUUGUUCUGUUUGAUUGAGACAUCCUCAGAGGUUUCCCUCCUCAACCACACAGCGUGACGAUCGCUCACAGCUGGCACUCGUCAGCGAUCAGCUCUCAGACCUCAGAGAUGGACUGAACCAGCGUUCACAUGUUAGAGCGAGACGACGACCUGAAGAGAGCCGAGUGACCAACCACUGAUCGUCAGCUGACUGUAAAACAAGGAUUCUCUGUCUGUCUGCAUGUUGGUCAUGUUUCUCCAGAACACCACUGAACUGAAGGUGACGUUUUAAGCUUCCUUCGACAGGUGUAUGCUAGCUAACGUUAGCCUCAUUGGCUAGAAUGUGUACUGUUGUUGGCAGCACUGUCAGCUGCUCCAGGCUGUCUCUCACUGGAUGUUGAGAUCUGGAAGUCAGACAUGUUAGUGAUGAUCAGCCCUGAGGAGUCAGGAGUCAGUUGCAGGUGGACUCCAAUCAAGUUCUACAGAUCUCUCAAUAAUCACAGCCAGCAGGAACUCAGUUUGGAUACAAAAACAUGUCUCCACUUUGUGAUUACAGGUCGCUGGCUGAAGAAAUGUUGAUUGAAUCCGUUUAAAUAAAAUCUCACCCCAUUAUAAACUGAU